rnacentral:rRNA from 1 species
AUACCAGACUCCUACGGGAGGCAGCAGUGGGGAAUAUUGGACAAUGGGGGGAACCCUGAUCCAGCGACGCCGCGUGAGUGAAGAAGUAUUUCGGUAUGUAAAGCUCUAUCAGCAGGGAAGAAAGAAAUGACGGUACCUGACUAAGAAGCCCCGGCUAACUACGUGCCAGCAGCCGCGGUAAUACGUAGGGGGCAAGCGUUAUCCGGAUUUACUGGGUGUAAAGGGAGCGUAGGCGGUUUAGCAAGUCAGAAGUGAAAGCCCGGGGCUCAACUCCGGGACUGCUUUUGAAACUGCGUUGCUAGAUUGCGGGAGAGGCAAGUGGAAUUCCUAGUGUAGCGGUGAAAUGCGUAGAUAUUAGGAGGAACACCAGUGGCGAAGGCGGCUUGCUGGACCGUGAAUGACGCUGAGGCUCGAAAGCGUGGGGAGCAAACAGGAUUAGAUACCCCGGUA